UACGUAGGACGCAAGCGUUGUCCGGAAUUAUUGGGCGUAAAGAGCUCGUAGGCGGUUUGUCGCGUCUGCUGUGAAAACCUGAGGCUCAACCUCGGGCUUGCAGUGGGUACGGGCAGACUAGAGUGCGGUAGGGGUGACUGGAAUUCCUGGUGUAGCGGUGGAAUGCGCAGAUAUCAGGAGGAACACCGAUGGCGAAGGCAGGUCACUGGGCCGCAACUGACGCUGAGGAGCGAAAGCAUGGGGAGCGAACAGG
rnacentral:rRNA from 1 species